AAAGGUUCGUCUAAUGAGAACACAGAUUCUCCCAACCUGUCAGCUAUAGACAGAGCUAGCUUCCUGGAGGGACUGCAGCUAAACUAUGGCAACCCUCUUCACAGCACUGCCUUGGAAGAAGAUUUAAACGUCGAGGAACAGGUGAACGAAGGAAAGGCUGGGAGAAAGGAAAUUCCUCAGACGUUGAAGGCUGCUGGUAAAGAGCGUGGAGCUGAGGAGAAGAGGAAGGAGGCGCAGAGGGAUGGAGAGGGGAAGGAGGAAGAGGAGAAGAAAAAGAGGAGGAGUGCUGUGAAGACGUCUGCAGCGAGGCCGGAGAAGAAUCAGCUGGUGAAGAAAGGCAAGAAGAGAAAGAGCGGGAUGUCAUGUGACCCAGAGCCACAGG